rnacentral:sRNA from 1 species
CUUGAACUUAUAGAGAUCUGCCUGCUUCUGCCUCGUAUGUGCCACCAUGCCCAGCGCGCUGUGUCACUUUCUUCUCAUGUGUGUCGCCUGAAGAGAAAUCUGGUGUCAUUCAGGACUUUAUCCAUGUGGCCGCUAACCUUUGAUGAACAUGGUUUCCUGGACUGAGAUGGGGAGGAAUGAAGGAUGUGGACUCCAAGUCAUGUCAGGAAAGUUAUAUAUGUAACUUUCCCAGAGUCACAUAUUUAAGAGGUGAAACCCGGAUUAGAAGCCUGGUGGUCAGAGAUCUGUAUGUAUGACCACUGUGUUACCUGAGAGUUGUGGGUUCAUUCAUGUGUGGAGAAAGGUUGAUUCAUGUGUGGAUAAAUGAAGUUAUGAAGGUUGAUUGGUACCACUCAGGGGAGCUCUCAAAUGGCAGAUGGAGGAGGUCUGGGCAUGGUGCUGCGGGCCAUGGGAGGACUCCCUCCUCUCUCAGAGUAAGUCACCUUCAGUGGAUGACUGCGUGGCCAUUGCCGUGUGGCUGGCACAGCUCUUCCACUGCCUCACCCUCUUUGGAGGGUGUGUGUCACAGCCCCCACUCCCGCCCUUCCAUUUUCUUUUGAAAAUAAAUUAAAAGUUACUUAAGAGACUCUUUUUGGCCCUGUAAAUUCCAGAAUCACUCUUGCCUGGAGCUUGUCGAGGGGCCUCUGAAGAUGCCAAGGGGCAGGCUUUGGCUCAGUUGAUUGGCCCCCAGCGCCUGCCAGGCUUUCCCUGGGGAACGUUCUCCUUGGCACUCCCGCCUGACUGCACAGGUCCACGAAUAGACCAUGUGGUUGUAGACACUCCCGUGGGGCCUUUCUGGAGAAAAGCACAUUGCUGAACGAAAAUCUCAAGCCCCUUAGUCAGGCUGACGUGGGAAUGGCUUCUCCACGCUGGGGCACGCCACCGGGUCUGCGUGGACUCCUUUCUGGCUUCACACAUCACUGCAAAGGCGGUGUUGGGAUCUGGAUGCUUUCCUGGCCUUCCACUAAGCAGUGGGUAUGCUGUGAUGAAUCCGGGGUGGCCAGGUUAUCCCUCAGUGUGGCAGCCCCUCAUACCCCAUCAGAUGCAAUGGCACAUGUCUAUGAGCUGCUGUUCUGUUCUCUAAAGGAUUGUUCAUAUCUGUGAGCUCACUGAAUUAUCACACAAAAAUAUGUUCUGAAUUGAGCAGUGAGCCUCAGAGGACAUCUCUUAAGGUUUUGGGUCAAAUCUCACUGUAUUAAACCCGUUUCUUCCCCUGAAAAUGAGUAUCUGGGUGAACCUGGACUUUAAAGACUACCUGGUUGACCCUAGAACAAUGCUCUUGGGUUCCUUUGUCUCUGGUUCUCCAAGGCAGCAACAGAAGCACAUGUUAGGGAGAGACAUGGAAUGGGAAGCAUUCUUUCAGUCCAGAGAACAGGGCUGGUUAGGGCUGGUCUGGUCUGGUCAGUGACGGUCAGUGGUGGCCAAUGGUGGUUAAGUUCUAGGCAGUGCCUCAGUUGCUGCUGCUAUUGCUCCAUCCCUUGGUGGCUUCCUGAUUCUUCGCUCCAUCUUUAAGAAUAGGCCCCAUGUCGCAGACUCAGGCACACCAUAUGCUCCCUGAUGUGAGUCAGGCAGGGGCUGAGCUGACUAGAAGAGGUUGCCUGUCUGGCUCUGUAGAGAUUUAAUUGGGCCUGUGAAGCUACGUGAAAGAGAUGGUGUUCGCAAACCAUGCUGUGACACGUAAGCAACAAUGAUCACUACAAUUCCUGGCCAAAGCAGGAAAAGGGGGCUGCUCAUGUUCGUGACAGCUUUGCUCUGGUUUCCAUGUUAGAACCGCGUCAGUCACUGUGUCUUCAAAGGAGUGGACAGUUACCCUAUAGACCUAUGCUCUGAUCAGAUGUCAUUUGUUUGAUGCAUGUGUUUAUAUAUUGUUAAAACAGACUCUAGUUUGCCAGUAGUGUCCAUAUACACCACACACACA